rnacentral:rRNA from 1 species
UACGUAGGGUGCGAGCGUUAAUCGGAAUUACUGGGCGUAAAGCGUGCGCAGGCGGUUUUGUAAGCCAGAUGUGAAAUCCCCGGGCUUAACCUGGGAAUGGCAUUUGGGACUGCAAGGCUGGAGUGCGGCAGAGGAGACUGGAAUUCCUGGUGUAGAGGUGAAAUUCGUAGAUAUUGGGAAGAACACCGGUGGCGAAGGCGGCGCUCUGGACCGAGACUGACGCUGAGGCGCGAAAGCGUGGGGAGCAAACAGG